UUCCAUGGUAACUGUGAGGUGAGAAACAACGAGAAGUUGCCAUAUUUUACUUGUCCAAAUGAAGAACUCCAUCUGCCUAGCUGCCUGAAAGUGAAAAUAAAUCAACUUGCAUCAAUAGAAAAAAACAAAGGAAGGCAUGGACCAUUUUCUUAAGCACCUAUGAACUUAAUUGAAUGACACCAAGAAGAAAAAGCAAAUGCAUUCCAUGAUAUGUUCCCACAUGACCUGAGAAGAUCGAAAGCAUUUCAAAUGAAUUACAUGAUCUAUAACUAAAACAAUAGUGAUGGUGAUACCUCCCGAGGUAUGAUUUCGGUAGUGAUGUGACUAUAAGUUGUCAUCCGGAACCUGGGCUAGGAAAAGGAGACUCCUAGCGAUGGCUUGACCAAUGCAGGGCAAUGGUUGGACAUGCGUCUAGAGUGGCAUACCGAGUCAAGUUUAGAAAGCAACACCACACCCUGCAAUAUUUGCGAUAUUUGCGGUAAAAUUACUUACUAAGGUAUCGUGGACCCUGCAGUAUACCCUGCAUUAUCAUAGUUGUAACUGCACCAACAUGGACACACCAGUUACUAAAAAAGAACCUCUAUAUCAUUGAAAAUGAACAUAUGGUGUGUGAACCAUAUCAAUAUGGCAAAGUACCCCAUUUCAUGAUAGUGCCAAUGGCUGAAUAUGCCACGCGAACACAAACACUCUAUCUCUUGCUCCAGGUAUUAAUUUUGGAUAACUUGCUAUCAAAACAUUGUGUUAAAAAUCACUUUGUAACAAAUAUACCAAGAGACGCUUAGUUCAGCAAAAUCAACACGACUACAUGACAAACUAUCAAACAUUGCACUAUAUCCCAAGAAUAUAUAAACAAGGAGACAUCAAUCUAACAAAUUCAGCAAUGGUUCCCUGAUGAUGUCUAAGUCCUUUUGGUUCACUAAUCUUUCUGAACUCAUUCGUUUUUGAGAAAUUAUUUCUGAACCUGACAUGCAUAUAAUUUUUUUGGGAAUAAAUAUAGCUUGUACAUAGCAAUAAAAAUUGGUUCUCAACCACAAGAUCAAUACUGCAUGCAUUUAACAAGCCUAGUAAUGCUUUUGGGAGUUGAUGUAUCUAUUUAAAAUUCAAAUAUCAAUCUGCAGCAAUAAAUCCCUUCUUGAUAGGUAUUGCAUACAACAAACUAUAGACAUGGAAUAUUCAUUCCAUGAACCAGAAGUAGAAGAGCUACCAGUAGAUGCAAAAAAAAAACGAAUUGCAACCAGGACUUCGAACAAUAUCUAACUAUGUGCCAACAAGCUCAAUAUACCUCACUUUUGGGCGAAGUCAGAUCCAUUCUAGAUCAGUGAAAGAAGAUUCAAUAUUGCACCUUUCACAAAAUGCAGGACCUUGUCUGUAUUUUGAUGCGUCUCCAAAUAGCAGCAUUGUCACAAUCUUCUGCCGCUUGCUCCCCUGUUCUAGUUCAAGCAAGAAAAAUAUAUUCAGUAAACUGAAAUGAAAAUCUUUUAGGAAGUAUGAACCAGAAGUAGAAGAGCUACCGGUAGAUGCAAAAAAAACGAAUUGCAGCGAGGACUUCUAACAAUAUCUAACUAGGUGCCAACAAGCUCAAUAUACCUCACUUUUGGGCGAAGUCACGAUCCAUUCUAGAUCAGUGCAAGAAGAUUCAAUAUUGCACCUUUCACAAAAUGCAGGACCUUGUCUGUAUUUUGAUGCGUCUCCAAAUAGCAACAAU
rnacentral:lncRNA from 1 species